CCCACCUACAGAUGAGGAGCUUCGUCACUUCAAGUACCUUCGACGGACGAUGUUGGUAGAUUUAAAGAUUGAUCCUGAUAAGGUUUAAAGACAUGUUUAGGAAAUAUAUAUCUCUCUGGUUCUUCGUCGUCUCACUGUUCUCUUCUCUUCUCUCGCCACUCACGUUGUUAGAAGUAAAACGGUACCGAACCCCCACGGUGUACUUGUACCAAGAAGACGAACAAUAUAACCUCUAGUAAAACGAGUAGUGGUACCGCGGCAGACCUCACAACCGCGCAGGCUCGCGCUCUGGCUGUUUCCCUUACCCGCUAGGGUUGACAGGCCGUACAUAUCUUAUAGGAACAUUUACAACUUUCAAAUACCUGAAAACCGGGUAAAUUGAAAAGUAAGGACUUUUUAGUGUAUGAGUAAUUACCAACGUACCGUACUCUUUUAAUAUUAGGGCGCCUCUCUCACCUCCACUCAACUGUGCUUGCCGUAGAGAGAGUGAGGAGAUAUUUCGUACUAAUCUCCUGAUUAUAGGAGGCGAAUACAGAAGCUAGAAGCUAAAGCUACUACUGAUGAAGCUGUUAGAAUAUAAUAAGGAGGUACAUUAUUCUUAGGGAACUACGCCGUCGUUAAAACAAUCGGUAGGUCCUCGUACAAACGUAGGAUAAAAAUAACAAAGAUACAAAAACACAACACAUUUCUGAUGAUCAGGCCGCUAAACUACGUCGUAAAACAACGCGUACGUUGGAACGUGACAUCAUUGACUACUAGAGUGUACAUACUGGUCCGAGGCACAUACAUACUUUUUUUUCAAUUUCCCCUAGUCCAAAAAUAUAAUAAAACUUUUCUCGCCUUCUGGG
rnacentral:rRNA from 1 species